ACUUGGAACUAUUAGUGGAGAAGGAUAAAGUCUUCUGGUUCCACGAAUGGAAUUGAGAGGGAUUUAAAUUCAGUGCUUUUGAGUGUGGUGAAAUGAACACAGCAGUACAUUAAUGCUAGGAUUUGAGCUCACACAGCAUGAGAGCUUUCAAAAACCAUGUUUAAGGAAGCAAACAGAGCUACUACCAACCCUUUCAGAGGAAGCAAAAGAAGUCGGACAAAACAAGUGAGUACAAAUAAAAACUGCAACUGUGCUGGAAUUAGGUAGGAAGAAGAAAGGACUUGCUUUACCAAAGAACAUUCACAUAUGGGAUAGUGACAGCACACCCUGCAAAAGAUCAAAAUUGAAAUGGAAGGAGCUGAGUUCCUGGUAGAAGAGAUAUCCAAAUCAGAGGAAUAUUCUGUGGCUCCUAGCAAUGCAUCUGGAGGACGAUACCAGAGUGUCACUACUUCCGAAGAGUUUGAUGCCAACUUUUUGCCUCCCAGGAGAGAGCUGACCCAACAGGAGUGAGCAUCCCUACCUAUUUUGUGCUGCCUAGAAGUUAGAAGAUGCUUUCUAAUGACUGUGUCUCCCGGGGCCCCAUGUUUCCAAAGACCUGAUCUAGUCAAUGCAUUGGAUAAAUAAACCUGUGCACACAAAA